GCCUAGUUAGCUUAGUAGUGCGUCUGCCUUGUAAGCGCUAGGCCGCGGGUUCGAUUCCCGCCCGGGGCG
rnacentral:tRNA from 1 species